CGCGUAGGCGGUUUGUACAGUCAGACGUGAAAUUCCUGGGCUCAACCUGGGGGCUGCGUUUGAUACGUGCGGACUUGAGUUCGGAAGAGGGUCGUGGAAUUCCCAGUGUAGAGGUGAAAUUCGUAGAUAUUGGGAAGAACACCGGUGGCGAAGGCGGCGACCUGGUCCGAUACUGACGCUGAGGCGCGAAAGCGUGGGGAGCAAACAGGAUUAGAUACCCUGGUAGUCCACGCUGUAAACGAUGUGCGCUGGAUGUUGGGUGACCUAGUCACUCAGUGUCGUAGCUAACGCGAUAAGCGCACCGCCUGGGGAGUACGGCCGCAAGGUUGAA
rnacentral:rRNA from 1 species